UCCUCUCUUGGUCAUUUAGAGGAAGUAAAAGUCGUAACAAGGUUUCCGUAGGUGAACCUGCGGAAGGAUCAUUAAUGAAUUUUGAAAGGGGUUGUAGCUGGCCUUUAGGCAUUUGUGCACACCUCGAUCAUCAUCCUUUCACACCUGUGCACAUUCUGUAGGUUGGCUUUCAUGCAAAGUUUUUUCAUGAUCUUUGUGUUGUGGCCUUCCUAUGUUUUAUCACAAACUUCUCAGUUUAAAGAAUGUUUAUCUUGUGUGCAAUGCACUAUAUACAACUUUCAGCAACGGAUCUCUUGGCUCUCGCAUCGAUGAAGAACGCAGCGAAAUGCGAUAAGUAAUGUGAAUUGCAGAAUUCAGUGAAUCAUCGAAUUUUUGAACGCACCUUGCGCUCCUUGGUAUUCCGAGGAGCAUGCCUGUUUGAGUGUCGUGGAAUUCUCAACUCYGUUUGCUUUUGUAAAUAGAGCUUGGAUUUGGAGGUUGAUUGNUGGAUGCAUCACCUCUUUGGCUCCUCUUGAAUGUAUUAGCUUGGACCUUUGUGGAUCAGCUUCGGUGUGAUAAUGNCUACCACCGAUCCUGAGAAAGCAUAACUGUGGGUUUAGGCUUCCAAUUGCCUGUCAUAAGACAAAAUCCAUUUUGACCUUUGACCUCAAAUCAGGUACGAUUACCCGCUGAACUUAAGCAUAUCAAUAAGCGGAGGA
rnacentral:rRNA from 1 species